rnacentral:pre_miRNA from 11 species
CUUACGGUGGUCUCUAAUUCGCUUGGUGCAGGUCGGGAACCGACUUCGCCGCUCCGGCAGCGCCGGAGGCACGCGGCGGCCUACGAUUGGUUGCUGAGCGAAUUCCGAUCCCGCCUUGCAUCAACUGAAUCGGAGACGGCGGUGAUG